rnacentral:rRNA from 1 species
GAGUUUGAUCCUGGCUCAGGAUGAACGCUAGCGGCAGGCUUAACACAUGCAAGUCGAGGGGUAACAUAGAAAAGCUUGCUUUUCUGAUGACGACCGGCGCACGGGUGCGUAACGCGUAUACAAUCUGCCUUAUACUGGGGUAUAGCCUUUAGAAAUGAAGAUUAACCCCCCAUAGUCUCUUUAAAUGGCAUCAUUUUUAGAGUAAAGGUUACGGUAUAAGAUGAGUAUGCGUUCUAUUAGUUUGUUGGUGAGGUAACGGCUCACCAAGACUGCGAUAGAUAGGGGCCCUGAGAGGGGGAUCCCCCACACUGGUACUGAGACACGGACCAGACUCCUACGGGAGGCAGCAGUGAGGAAUAUUGGACAAUGGAGGCAACUCUGAUCCAGCCAUGCCGCGUGCAGGAAGACUGCCCUAUGGGUUGUAAACUGCUUUUAUACAGGAAGAAACCUUGGUACGUGUACCAAGCUGACGGUACUGUAAGAAUAAGGAUCGGCUAACUCCGUGCCAGCAGCCGCGGUAAUACGGAGGAUCCAAGCGUUAUCCGGAAUCAUUGGGUUUAAAGGGUCCGUAGGUGGAUAAUUAAGUCAGGGGUGAAAUCUUGCAGCUCAACUGUAAAAUUGCCUUUGAUACUGGUUAUCUUGAGUCAUUAUGAAGUAGUUAGAAUAUGUAGUGUAGCGGUGAAAUGCAUAGAUAUUACAUAGAAUACCAAUUGCGAAGGCAGAUUACUAAUAAUGUACUGACACUGAUGGACGAAAGCGUGGGUAGCGAACAGGAUUAGAUACCCUGGUAGUCCACGCCGUAAACGAUGGUUACUAGCUGUGUGGACUUCGGUCUGCGUGGCUAAGCGAAAGUGAUAAGUAACCCACCUGGGGAGUACGUUCGCAAGAAUGAAACUCAAAGGAAUUGACGGGGGCCCGCACAAGCGGUGGAGCAUGUGGUUUAAUUCGAUGAUACGCGAGGAACCUUACCAGGGCUUAAAUGUAAGUUGCAUUAGCUAGAGAUAGCUAUUUNUUCGGACCACUUACAAGGUGCUGCAUGGUUGUCGUCAGCUCGUGCCGUGAGGUGUCAGGUUAAGUCCUAUAACGAGCGCAACCCCUGUUGUUAGUUGCCAGCGAGUCAUGUCGGGAACUCCAACAAGACUGCCGGUGCAAACCGUGAGGAAGGUGGGGAUGACGUCAAAUCAUCACGGCCCUUACGUCCUGGGCUACACACGUGCUACAAUGGUCGGUACAGAGAGCAGCCACUGCGCGAGCAGGAGCGAAUCUAUAAAACCGAUCACAGUUCGGAUCGGAGUCUGCAACUCGACUCCGUGAAGCUGGAAUCGCUAGUAAUCGGAUAUCAGCCAUGAUCCGGUGAAUACGUUCCCGGGCCUUGUACUCACCGCCCGUC